GAUGAAGAACGUAGCGAAAUGCGAUAAGUAAUGUGAAUUGCAGAAUUCAGUGAAUCAUCGAAUCUUUGAACGCACAUUGCGCCCCCUGGUAUUCCGGGGGGCAUGCCUGUCCGAGCGUCAUUACAACCCUCAAGCUCAGCUUGGUGUUGGGCCCCGCCGCCCCGGCGGGCCCUAAAGUCAGUGGCGGUGCCGUCCGGCUCCGAGCGUAGUAAUUCUUCUCGCUAUAGAGUCCCGGUGGAUGCUUGCCAUUAACCCCCAAUUUUCUAUGGUUGACCUCGGAUCAGGUAGGGAUACCCGCUGAACUUAAGCAUAUCAAUAAGCGGAGGA
rnacentral:misc_RNA from 1 species